rnacentral:rRNA from 1 species
UACGAAGGUGGCAAGCGUUACUCGGAAUUACUAGGCGUAAAGGGCAGGUAGGUGGUUUGGUAAGUCUGCUGUGUAAGCUCCCGGCUUAACUGGGAGAGGCCAGCGGAAACUACCAGGCUUGAGUAUAGGAGAGGAUACUGGAAUUCCCGGUGUAGCGGUGAAAUGCGCAGAUAUCGGGAGGAACACCAAUGGCGAAAGCAGGUAUAUGGACUAUUACUGACACUAAGCUGCGAAAGCUAGGGGAGCAAACAGG